rnacentral:lncRNA from 1 species
UGAUGAUUGUGACAAUGCAGCUGUGUGAACAUGAUCCGAAAGUUAAUGCAACUUCUCUUCUUAUUGAUCCAAACAGAGCACAGUUCCUUGAAUAUGAGUCACUCACAUUUUAUUGUGAGGGGGUCUCUUACUGUGAAGUUGUGCAUGCAUCCAAUAGGAAAAUGCUCACAUGUAACAAAACUAAUAGGAGAACAUCAACAGGGUCGUCCUGCACUAUAAAUAAUCUUUAUCCAGCUGAAAGUGGAAAAUACUGGUUUGAUGCUGAAGGGGGUAAAAGAAGCAACAAUGUCAUCAUCACUGUGACUGGGAGAAGCUGUAACUCUGACUUGUAA